rnacentral:rRNA from 1 species
GACGAACGCUGGCGGCGUGCUUAACACAUGCAAGUCGAACGGUAAGGCCCUUCGGGGUACACGAGUGGCGAACGGGUGAGUAACACGUGGGUGAUCUGCCCUGCACUUCGGGAUAAGCCUGGGAAACUGGGUCUAAUACCGGAUAGGACCACUGCCUGCAUGGGCGGUGGUGGAAAGCUUUUGCGGUGUGGGAUGGGCCCGCGGCCUAUCAGCUUGUUGGUGGGGUGAUGGCCUACCAAGGCGACGACGGGUAGCCGGCCUGAGAGGGUGACCGGCCACACUGGGACUGAGAUACGGCCCAGACUCCUACGGGAGGCAGCAGUGGGGAAUAUUGCACAAUGGGCGCAAGCCUGAUGCAGCGACGCCGCGUGAGGGAUGACGGCCUUCGGGUUGUAAACCUCUUUCAGCACAGGCGAAGCGCAAGUGACGGUAGGUGCAGAAGAAGGACCGGCCAACUACGUGCCAGCCGCCGCAGUAA